rnacentral:rRNA from 1 species
CACGUAGGGCGCAAGCGUUGUCCGGAAUUAUUGGGCGUAAAGAGCUCGUAGGCGGACUGUCACGUCUGCUGUGAAAGCUGGGGCUUAACCCUGGCCUUGCAGUGGAUACGGGCAGACUAGAGGUAGGUAGGGGAGAAUGGAAUUCCCGGUGUAGCGGUGAAAUGCGCAGAUAUCGGGAGGAACACCGGUGGCGAAGGCGGUUCUCUGGGCCUUACCUGACCGCUGAGGAGCGAAAGCGUGGGGAGCGAACAGG